rnacentral:rRNA from 1 species
GGAAUAUUGGGCAAUGGGCGAAAGCCUGACCCAGCAACGCCGCGUGAAGGAAGAAGGUCUUCGGAUUGUAAACAUCUGUCCUAUGGGACGAAGGAAGUGACGGUACCAUAGGAGGAAGCCCCGGCUAACUACGUGCCAGCAGCCGCGGUAAUACGUAGGGGGCGAGCGUUGUCCGGAAUUACUGGGCGUAAAGGGUGCGUAGGCGGAAUGUCAAGUCAGAUGUGAAAUACCUGGGCUUAACCCGGGGGCUGCAUUUGAAGCUGACAUCCUUGAGUGCAGGAGAGGCAAGUGGAAUUCCUAGUGUAGCGGUGAAAUGCGUAGAUAUUAGGAGGAACACCGGUGGCGAAGGCGACUUGCUGGACUGUAACUGACGCUGAGGCACGAAAGCGUGGGGAGCAAACA